rnacentral:rRNA from 1 species
GAUGAACGCUAGCUACAGGCUUAACACAUGCAAGUCGAGGGGAAACGAUAGAAAAAGCUUGCUUUUUCUAGGCGUCGACCGACGCACGGGUGAGUAACGCGUAUCCAACCUGCCCACCACUUGGGGAUAACCUUGCGAAAGUAAGACUAAUACCCAAUGACGUCCAUAGAAGACAUCUGAAAUGGAUUAAAGAUUUAUCGGUGAUGGAUGGGGAUGCGUCUGAUUAGCUUGUUGGCGGGGUAACGGCCCACCAAGGCGACGAUCAGUAGGGGUUCUGAGAGGAAGGUCCCCCACAUUGGAACUGAGACACGGUCCAAACUCCUACGGGAGGCAGCAGUGAGGAAUAUUGGUCAAUGGGCGAGAGCCUGAACCAGCCAAGUAGCGUGCAGGAUGACGGCCCUAUGGGUUGUAAACUGCUUUUAUAAGGGAAUAAAGUGGGAGUCGUGACUCCUUUUGCAUGUACCUUAUGAAUAAGGACCGGCUAAUUCCGUGCCAGCCGCCGCCGUAAGAC